UAGAGACAGAGUAGACCAACAAGGAGGAGUAGAGACAGAGUACACCAACAAGGAGGAGUAGAGACAGAGUACACCAACAAGGAGGAGUAGAGACAGAGUACACCAACAAGGAGGAGUAGAGACAGAGA